rnacentral:rRNA from 1 species
GACGAACGCUGGCGGCGUGCUUAACACAUGCAAGUCGAACGGACUACUUUGCUUCGGUAAGGUGGUUAGUGGCAAACGGGUGAGUAACGCGUAGACAACCUACCUCUUAGAUGGGGACAACAUCGCGAAAGCGGUGCUAAUACCGAAUGAAGUGACUUUCCUGCAUGGGAGAGAUACCAAAGGUGGCCUCUAUUUAUAAGCUACCACUGAGAGAUGGGCCUGCGUCUGAUUAGCUAGUUGGCGGGGUAACGGCCCACCAAGGCGACGAUCAGUAGCCGGUCUGAGAGGAUGAACGGCCACAUUGGGACUGAGACACGGCCCAAACUCCUACGGGAGGCAGCAGUGGGGAAUCUUCCGCAAUGGACGAAAGUCUGACGGAGCAACGCCGCGUGAGUGAAGAAGGUUUUCGGAUCGUAAAGCUCUGUUGUUUGAGACGAAUGUGCCUGUUUCGAAUAGGGAUAGGUAAUGACGGUAUUAAACGAGAAAGCCACGGCUAACUACGUGCCAGCCGCCGCCGUAA